UACGGAAGGCAGCAGGUGGGGAAUAUUGCACAAUGGGCGCAAGCCUGAUGCAGCCAUGCCGCGUGUAUGAAGAAGGCCUUCGGGUUGUAAAGUACUUUCAGUCGUGAGGAAGGUGUUAAGGUUAAUAACCUUAGCAAUUGACGUUAGCGACAGAAGAAGCACCGGCUAACUCCGUGCCAGCAGCCGCGGUAAUACGGAGGGUGCGAGCGUUAAUCGGAAUUACUGGGCGUAAAGGGCACGCAGGCGGUUAAUUAAGUUGGAUGUGAAAUCCCCGGGCUUAACCUGGGAAUGGCAUUCAAGACUGGUUAGCUAGAGUCUUGUAGAGGGGGUAGAAUUCCAUGUGUAGCGGUGAAAUGCGUAGAGAUGUGGAGGAAAUACCGGUGGCGAAGGCGGCCCCUGGACAAAAGGACUGACGCUCAUGUGCGAAAGCGUGGGGAGGCAAACAGGAUUAGAUACC
rnacentral:rRNA from 1 species